rnacentral:lncRNA from 10 species
GAAUAAGGUGCCACGGACUGUUUACUUUAUAGUGGUUCAUUUUAUCCUAUGUGAAUUUCACUCCAAUUUUUAAAAAUGGGCAAAAAGUAUUGAGAUGGUAUGCAGAGAAAAGAAGGAGGAUACUAAUGGCUGUAAAUGUAAAUCAGAUGAUCAUAACAUUUGGUCAAAACGGGGCUCAUGUCCCAUUGACUUAGAACAUAAGCCAAACCUCACGAUGGCCUGUAAAGCCCUUCCUUGUCAGGCCCCCACACCCCUCUGAGCUCACGUUCUACCGCCCUUCCCUCUCAGCCGCCGCACUCCAGCCACCUGCCUGCUUCCUGUCCCAGGAUACAAGUGCAUUCCAGCCCCAGGGCAUUUGCACUGGUUGCCCGUUCUGCCUGAAACACCAUUUUCCCAUCUAGCUCCUGAGCCUGCUCCCUCGUUUCAUGUAGGUCUCUGCUCAAACGUACCCUUUGUCUGGGAAGCUUUCUCUGAACACCUUAUGUGAAAUAGCAUCUCCCCUGUCAUUUUCUAGCCUUUCCCUGCCUUGUCUUCUUAAUACCUAUCAUAGUGUAUACCUAUGUGUAGUGCCUCUUUCUCUCCCUAAAAUGUGUUACAGAGUAAGAAUGUGGUCUGCCUUGCUCACUGCUGUAUCCUCAGCCCGUAGAACAGUUCCCGUACUUGGGAGACAUUCAUAAAUAUGUGUUGAAUUGAAAAAUUAUAUUAUUCUGCUGACCCGGGGCUGAACCUCUCAUUCAGGUAAGUGCCCUGUUUUGUUCUAAGUGAGGAACAAGAUAUGUGCUUUGGGACAGUCUUUUUCUGAAGCUGUUCAGAGGAGGCAGCCUGUUGUGGUGUCAUGAGGAUGAAGUGAGGUAGUUCAUGCCAAACACCCAGGAAUGUGGCUGGCACCUAAGUCAGCCUGGGAAGGAGUGAUGAUGUGGGAGGCUGGAGCUUGGUGGCUUUUUGGAGAAGAUUCCCAGGAUGGAAGGAGCACUGAAGGAUGCCUUGGAAGCCUGGAUUCCCACCCCAGCUUUUCUUAGCUUCAGGGCCCCACUCACCUUCAUGGUGAAGAUACGCGUGUAUUGCGCUGAAUUGUGCACACCUCCAAAUUCAUACAUUGAAGCCCUAACCCCAGUACCUCAGAGCAGGACUAUAUUUGGAGAUAGAGCAUUUAAGGAGGUGAUUAAGUGAAAAUAAGGUUAUUAGGGUGGCCCUAAGGCAAUCGGACUGGUAUUCUUAUAAGAAAAGGAAAUGUGGACACCAGAGACAGCAGGGAUGAGAACGCAGAGAGGAAAGAGCAUGUGAGGACACAGCGGGAAGGUGGCCACCCAUAAGCACAGGAGAGAGGCUUCAGGAGAAAUCGCCCCCACUGACACCUUGACCUUGCACUUCCAGCCUCCAGACUGGCAAAAAUUAAUUUCUGCUCCUUAAGCCACCCAGUCUGCGGUAUGUUGUAGUGGCAACCUGAGCUGAUGAGGACACAGGGUUGGAUAGCAGGGUCUCAAGGCCUCCACUCAUUUAACCUUCAAAGACUUCAUCACCACCCCGUGUGGGAUGAGCCCCCAGCUCUGCUCUUGCUGGCUGUGGGAUUUGGGUCCAUUUCUCAACACCCCAGAUCUUGACAGUCCCCAUCUGACAACCAGAUGGGAGCUCAGUGUGGCCAAGUGGUGACCAAGGUCAAGUGUGGCCAUGGAGGUCAGGUGCCCAGCACAGCACAGGCACGGUGGGGCCGCACCAGCCCAUGGCAUCGCCUCACACAGAUGACUCAGUCUCCCUGUGUGCAGCGUCCUCAUCUGUGCGGCAGUUAUUUUAAGAAUUAAGUGAGAGACUCUCUGGCUGGCAGGAGAUAAGUGCCCAAUACAUUUUAGCUAUUAUCAGUAGCAACAUUCUGCUCCUUCUGCAGAAAUUCAGCAAGAAUGUCUAUUGAUUCUCGGUAUGACUUUUAAUAACACGAUAGCUCAAUCUUUUUUGAGUGCUUAUUUUGUCCUAACACUUUACAUGAAGUACCAUUCAUGGUAAAAUAAAUAAAUAAAUAAAUAAAUAAUAAAUAAAAUACAAACAACAGGGAACACUUCUUUUUGUUGAGAUAUAAAUAUCUGUGUGUGUAUAUAUAUAUAAAUAACUUUUAAAUUAAUUAUCUUUUAGUAAACACUGUAUUCCUUGCAGAAGUUAAUUUGGAGACUUCUCAUGUAUAAUUGGCCCCUCAACACAUGUGGGCUAAACUGACUGUGCUGCUUUUGAAAAUAAGUUUAGGAUGAUUCAAAGUCUUUUGAGCUUGCUUGGUGCAGAUCAUGUCUCCAACCCUGUGGAACUACAUACUACUGAAUUUAAACACUGCAUUUAAAAUAAACAACAGCACACGGAUUGUAAACACAAAGAAACAUAAUUUGGGUUCUUCAUUCUACCCCUCAUGUGAACAGAGUUUUCAUUUGUGUUUAAAAUUUAAAACAGUGAAACUGUGUGAGCUGAGAGGUAUACUGUUUUUGUAUGGUAACUGCAAUUUUUUUUUUAUUUUUUGAGACAGGGUCUCACUCUGUUGCCCAGGCUGGAAUGCAGUGGUGCAAUCUCGGCUCACUACAACCUCUGCCUCCCAGGCCCUAGUCUCUAGAGUAGCUGGGAGUACAGGUGCAUGCCACCAUGCCCAGCUAGACUUUUUUGUAAAGAUGGGGUUUUGCCAUGUUGCCCAGGCUGGUCUCAAACUCCUGAGCUCAAGGAGACUGAGCGAUCCACCUUGGCCUCCCAAAGUGCUGGGAUUGCAGGCGUGGGCCACUGUGCUGGCCCAUUUUUUUAUUGUUAAUUGCCUACCUUAAGACUAAAGUACUGAUUAAGAAAACAUUGCUUGGAUACCCUAUUUACCUUGAUGUGAUUGUCAUCUAUUGCAUGCAGGUAUCGACAUAUCUUAUGUAACCUAUAAAUAUAUACACCUACUAUGUACCCGCAAAAUUUUUUAAAAAUUAAAAAAAAAAAGAAAACAUUGCUUAUGCUGAAAAUAAUUUUGUUGUGCAGAGGAGGGGGUGUUAAAAAAUAAUAAAUUCCAGGUGUCAAAUACACGAGUUAGGCCACCAAGCAAGAAGAGUGCUUUUCAAAUGCAAACCAGACCCUGCAACCCCCUGAAGCUUCAGGCUCAGACCCCGACACCUCACAUGGAUGUUCCCUGCCCAAAUGCUGCCUCACCCAGGGCCAUGGGCAGUUUUCAGGGCAGGCACAAGUGGAGAACCAUGAUCUGGUGGUGGGCUGGCGAUGCAGGGGGUUCUUACAGCUUUGAAACCCUGGACACAAGGUUCUAACAUUAGAUCCACCCCUGCCUUGCUGGGCAGCCUCAGACAAGCCCUUGCCCGUGGGGCCCUCGGUUUCCUUUCCUUUACAAUAAGGGCUUAGCCUGGACAGUAUCCAAGGACCCUUUUAUGCCCCGUGACUUGGCCUUUUUCGAGGCCUGAUGUUAGUUCAGUCUAGGCUGGUAGAGUUCAUUUCUGGAAAGGAAGAAAUAAAAAUGCAAAUUGUUUGUGAUUCAAGAGAAAGUUAGACCAAUCUCUUCCUUGUUUAUGGACUUGCCUUUGUCAGCUUCCUCAGUCUGUUCACUGCUUUGGCACCAAAAUAGAGCCCUAAUUAUCUAUAGGCAGCAAUUGUUUCCUCCCCAGGAAAACGCCUUUCUUUCUUUUUUAAACAGAAAUUUGUAUGGAGUGGAGAAAAUGUGCACUUUUCUAAGUAAGUAACAUGGUUGUAAUCUCUGGAAUAUAAGAAAAACAAUUCCCCAACGCACUCCCCCUGAAAUCCCCUGGCCCGCAUGGGUAGAGCUUACAAGAGCAGGGCCAGUCAGGUAUGCCGGAAAGAGCUUGAUGCUGGGGUCAGACCUGGGAACAAAUGCUGGCUUUGGGCCGGUCUCUCCCCAUUCUGAAUUUUAUCAUCUUUCAAACGGAGAUUAUGGUUCCUGCUUAUCCUAACUUACAGAAUGCACUGAGAAGCACUGUUCCAAACGCACAGGGCACACCGUUUCAGCUCAGUCAGAGCUUGGAGAUUUGGAGAUAAAUGGGAGGGAGCCCCUGAACCCCAGGAGUAUCCCCUCCUUCUUCUUGCUGGGCUAUUCUGGGAGAAUUGAGAAGAAAAAGCCUUCACUGCAGGAGGAAGGAAGAUUUGGGGAGGGGCAAAGUUUGGUGGGGUCUUGGUAAAUAAAGAGGGCAUGGCAGGUGGACGGACUGCUGUGAGUGAAGGUUUUGGGGAAAGAGGAUGCAUGGUCUGCUGAGCAGAGGUUGGGCUAGAGAGGAGGCGAGAAGCAGGAGAUGAGGUUGGAAGGUGUGCUGAGUGGACUGGUUUGGGUGAUGAAGUGGAGUGGGCGGUGGGUGGGGGUGGUCCAAGCAGGAGGAACUGCUUGAGCAAAGGUAAGAGGCAGGGUGUUGGUAUAGGACUCUGCAACCGGCACAGCCACGGUCCACACUUUAAAUCCUCAAAAUGGAUUGUCUUGUGCUGUUUCUUUCUGAAUUUGUCCAAGGAAGCAGAGAGAGGAGGAAAAAAGAAUUCUUUUUCACGUUCCUGUGACAUCCUCAGUGCCAGAAGUUGUCACUGAGCUGAUGCAUUAUCUCACCUACUCUUUCAAGUAAUAUAAUAUGUAGUUACAACCAUUUGCAUUUUACAGAAAACAGAAACUUAAUGAGUUAAAGAUCAGCCCAAGGUCACAGAGAUAGAAACAAGGUGAAGAGCAGAACUCAAGCCCUUAGACAACUUGGGAAAUGGCCAGUCCGUUGGCAUCUUUAGCAAUCAGAGUUUUUGACUCCUAGCAACUAAAGCAAUGCUGCCAAUAUGAAUAGAAAGGGGUGAUAUGGUUUGGCUGUGUCCCCAUCAAAUCUCAUCUUGAAUCAUAGUUCCCAUAAUCCCCAUGUGUUGUGUGAGGGACCUGGUGGGAGGUAAUUGAAUCAUGGGGGCAGGUAUCUUCCCCCGUCUCAUUUUCAUGAUAGUAAAUAAGUCUCAUGAGAUCUGAUGGUUUUAUAAAGGGCAGUUUCCCUGCACACGCUUUCUUGCCUGCCACCAUGUAAGACAUGCCUUUGCACCUCCUUUGCCUUACUCCAUGAUUGUAACUUUCCUGAGGCUUCCCCAACCAUGCUGAAUUGUCAGUCAAUUAAACCUCUUUCCUUUAUAAAUUACCCAUUCUCAAGUAUGUCUUUAUUAGCAGUGUGAGAGCAGACUAAUACAGGAGGUGAAUUAAAAGGGUAGCUCAAGGAGUCCAGGAGGGCUAAGAACUAGGCCUGGGACAAAUAUCAAAUGGCAAGACUGGACAGGGAGAAUAUGAAUGCCUCUGCCAUUGAACACUAGAUGCUUUUACUGGCUCCACUGGUGUGCCCAGCCUUGGAUACUGGACUCUGGACUUGGCCAUUGUCACCUGUUAAGUGGCCACUCCUGGCCCAGGAGCUCAAACUGCUGAAGCUACUGCUUCUCCUCACCCCCUGCCUAGCAUGAGAGAAUGUCCUCCCGCUCCAGAUCACCAGCCCUGGAUCAAAUUUAGGCAGUUGAAGCUGACGGGUAGAGCCCAGGAUACGAGCUCCUGCUCUGUCUGGAGGCAGGUGGCAAUAUCAUGACUGGUCAUUUUCAGCUUGUAUUGUAGGAGACAGGCAGACACUGCCUCCCACCAAGACUCAAGGGUGGCCAAUAUCCCAUACACAGAGAAGAAGUUCAGGUUUCUUUUCUUAUCAAUGAGAAUGACAAAUACCCACUCAACAUCGUUACUGGGUACACGCUUUGUGUGAGGCUUGACUAUUGGGGUCCCAAGGAAGAAGGGGAUGGCCUUUCCAUCAUGGAGUAAGGGCUAAUUUCAGAGGCCAGCAUGUAGGUUCCAAACCCGGCUUUCCCUCAUUUGAUCCUCAAACACCCCAUCGGGGGGCCUGGACAGGACUUAUCAGGCUUGUGUUACAGACGAAGAAACAGAGGUCCAGCGAAUGGAAGUGCCUUGCCCAUGGUCAUGGAGGUCAUGAGUGCAAACUGGUCUUGCACCCAGGGGAAUCUGGAUUCUAACUCAAAUCUUUCUCUGCUGCAUGGAGACCAGGGCACUGAGGGAAAUAGGCUUUUCUCAGAACCAGCUCUGCCUGUUUGACACUCGAUCUGGGCUGGGGAGGAGGGGGCAGGAAUGAGCACUGCAUCCCAGGGGAAGGGCUGGUGAACGUUCUGUGCGAUGACUGUGCCUGCACUGAAUCCCCUCUUGUCUGUGCUUCUCCCAGGAGGGGAUGUGUGGGAGGGCAGUGGGCUGGUGGCAGAAUUCAAGAAUGCCCAUUCUUUCAGCAGGGAGGCCAGCUGAUCGUGGCUUGUGCGUCGUUGGUCUCUGUGGAGAGUUUGGAGUGCAGCUCUCAGAGGCCAUGGCCGGCAGCAUCUUCGGCAUUUCGGGGCCUCUGCUGACUCUUGGUUCAAACCACAAAGCCUCUGCCCGAAAGCAUAGGGGCGGGGCCACAGGCUGGCCUCAUUGGUAGCCUGGGUGGUGGUCGGUUUACCAAGGUUGUCCAAAUACAGUGGGAGGGUUCCGAGCGCUGGGAAGAAAGCGUCCUGGUCAAAGGGUGGCUGACCCAUGUCCUGGUGAGCCUCCUGCAGCUUGCCUUGUCUGCUCACCUGCCUGAACCAUAAAGAAACUCCCGUGAUACUUUGGGCCGUGAGCCUGGAGAAGCGUUCUGGUCUUAGGGGAAGCGCAUUGAACCUGGAGUCACCAGACACAGGCACAGUCCCAGAUCUACUGGAGCACAGAUAUGUAGCCUCAGGCAAGUCACUUAACAAAUCUAAGCCUCAAUUUUCUCUCCCCUCAACUGGGGUAAUAAUAUUGUGAGAAAUAACAGAGCUUGCAGACGUGAAAGUGCCGCAGUGCAUGGUACAUCAUCGAUCCUCAAUAAGUAUAUGUGGAAUGAGUGAAUAGUGGAAUGGAUCAACAUAAACUGCCCCAGCGUCCUAGGAAGGAGUGUGUACCUUUGGCAAGGAGCGGCUGGGUGGAUGGAAUCAGAGGCAUUAUGUUUCGUGUUCUGAGGGCCCUUAAGUAUCUGGUCCAAUGUCAUCACUGUAAAGGUGGAGAAAGGAAGAGUUGGAGAUGGGAAGGGACUUCCCCAAGGUCACAUGGUGGCUGACAGAGCUAGGGACACUUCAUUGAGUCCCAUCCCCUGCCCUGAGUCACUUCUUAAUCUCUCUGCAGCCACUCCAGCUUUCAAACACACAGUGGAGGCCAGAGAUAAAAAGAGAGGCAUGGAAUCGUCAUUGCCAUCAUUUCAUGUCAUUUCAAACUGAUCAGACUUGGGUUUCAAUUCCUAGCUGGGUGGCUUUGUUGAAGCCGCCCAGCUUUCUGGGCCUCAGUUUCCCAUAUCGAGAGGAUUGUGUAACCCUCUGUGAAGAUUAAAUGCCUGGUAAGAAAUGUGGGGAUGGAAGCCCUAAUUGUGGACUAAUCGGACAGGAUCAGAACCCACUUCUCCCCUGCUGGGGGCUGUCGUCAGUGGAGACUUGCUGGGCAGAGUCCCUGGGAGGGCAGAGAGGAGGACAGGGUGGCAGGCUCUCAUUCCCCUGGGCCAGGAGGAGGAAAGUAAGACUUGGAAUGGCGGCCUGCCUGGCCUAUAGCCCAUCUGCUUCUGACCCGUGACAUGAGCCUGGGCAAGUAGCUGCCCUUCUCUGGCCUUGGCACUCCCGUCUAUAAAAUGAGAGUGUUUGCUUAGAUGAUUUUUAAGAGCAUCUCCAUCUCUGAUGUUUAAACCUUCUUUAAAUGCAUUCAUUCCAAAACUCCUGGCAGUGUUUCCAGGGGCCACAUUUCCUACUCAGUCCGUUUUGAAAUAAUGACUAGGGAGCUCAUUAGCACUCUCUGCCCUUACAGGCAGUUCCGGGGAGGGGACACAUUUUCUGCACUUGUGCCCAUGCCAAUUUUCCAACAUUUCAUGUUCUCAAAUAAUAAUAACUGUUAUUUCUACUAGACGGUUCCCUCACAAAGACCUCUCUGUGCCAAGGUGCCUGGGGCUGGGGUCUGGGCACACAGUUUUGGCAAUCUCCUCCCUCUGAGAAUGUGUCUACACCUGCAAGACAAUUAACCAAGUCAUUUAGGUGAAAACCCACCACUUUACACCUGAAAUAUGCCAAUAGUGGAGAAGAACAACCUGUGAGAGUGCUUCUGACAUUCAUUAUCCGAAUAGUCGCCUCAGAUCUUCACUUAGCAUCUCCAGAAGUAGCCUCACUGAAGUAAGCGUUUUCCCAAAAGCAAUAUACAGGGCUUCUAAACCUUCCCUCGCUGGUUAGAGAGGGAGGGACCGGUGCUGUGGGUUCCCAGGCUGUCUCCUGGGCUACAUCUCAGGCAAUGUGGUUUCAUACCACUUUGCACCAGUGUCUGAGGCCCCUUUCUUCCUCUGGGCCCGUGUGAUAUGCCUCUGUGAAUGAAGGGACUGAAAUUCCUUACAGUUCACAGGGCACUCCCGUGCAUGGCUCCCCUGGACCCUCUCCCCAUCCCUGGGAAGUGGGUGCCAUCCUACUGCCAGAAGAGACCAAAGCUCUGCACAUGAGGCUUUCUAAGGUUCCAUGGCCAAGGGGGCUCCGACCAUUUGCGGGGCUCCAGAUGGGGCCUCUCACACUGCCUCACGACCUCGGCCAGCUCUGCAGAGCAGCCCUGGGGCUGGGUGCCACGGGCUGGGCAGGGGUCCAACCUGCCUGCAAAUGCAUGAUGGGAAGCUCCCUGUGCAGUGGCUCGCUUUUGUCCCCCUUUGACUUGACACAGCCCAGAGACCCAGUAACAGAGCAGCCCUGUGGUCCACAGAGAGCAGUGGGAGGAGGAGAGGCCUGUGGUCCCCCCUCAACAGAGGUGAGGAUGAAAGGGAGCUAGUGAGCUAGGUUGGCCUCUCUGACCCAGCCAGAAGAAGCGUCCCCUCCAUCAGCCCUGGUAGUGGAGCGCUCCUGGUGUGCAUACCUUGGGAAAGACAGACAGCAGGACCUGGGGUGAGCCCCGCUUUGUCUCUUCUGCCUGUGCCGUACUGGCUUCGUCACCCCAUCCCUCCAAACCUCAGUCUCCACCUCUGCAAAACGGAGGCUCUAACACCUCCCUUGCAGGCCUACUGUUGGAUGUGGGGAAGGACCUGCUCAGAACCCGGCACAUGUGUGUGAUCAUUUCUCCCACUCUGGGUCUGAGCCAUGAGUCCCCACAAAGAGAUGCUUAGCCCCAGCAAAACUGGUAUCUGCUGGUCUGUUUCCAGGUGACCUCCUGUAACCCCUUCCGCCCUGGGCAGGUCGGCUGACCUGUGACCCUGAGGUGUUGACAGAAUCUCUGACCUCUGGGAAGGAGCAGGUCACUUUACCAAGUUUGUGCAAAUAGAUAAAGAACAAAGUGGCCCAUAAAUCAGAGCAACAGGAAAAACAAAUAAUUCUCUCCCCCCUUGGGAAAGAAGCCGCUGCGGUGUGGGUGGAGGUGGAGGGUGAGGGGAACGCUGUCCAGGUUACCUUCGUGGUUUCUCCUGAUGCCGCUGAGUGGCUGCCCACCUGGAUGGAGGUGGAGAUGGGCAACCUUGGGAAGAGGACUGUGCCAGGCCGGGGCAGGACAGUGGGUCCUGUCCUGCAAGGUCCUGGUGAAUUCUUCCUCAACUGCAGAGGAGGGGAGGCAUUUGGGGACCUCGAGGUCUCUUCCUGGAACCUGGCCCCUGAGAGAAGGCUGCCCAUCUGGGAUUUGGGGAGUGGAAGUCUCUUCUCUCGGUGGGCAUUUCUAGUUAUUCUACCUCAUGGUGGUGCAGAGCAAGCCAGGACGGGGCCUCACCAGGCUGGAUCCUGAACAAACCACUGCUGUAUGGUCGCAGGCUCACAGCGCCCCGAGUCUCAGUUUCCCCAAGUGUAAAUGGGAGUUGCCCCUGUCCUGCCCGUUCUCUGGCAUGUGGUGAGAGUGACAGUGCAUGUGGAGUGGCCCAGUGUCCUCAUAGGGCCGGGUUCCCACCCUGGCUCCAUCGCAGGGGGAGUGUGCAAGUGAUUGCACCAGUCAAGGCUCAGUUUCCUUUUUGUAAGCCAGCGAUGGUGACAGUACCUGCCCUUUGGAAUUAAAGGGAGGAUUAAAGGACACACUAUCUAAGACACCAGGCAUAUGCACCAGGUGUUCACUAAAAAAUAUUUCUCCCUACCCUCGUCUCAUUGCAAACACACCCUCUGGCCGGGCGCAGUGGCUAACACCUGUAAUCCUAGCCCUUUGCGAGGCUGAGGCAGGCGGAUCACUUGAGGAUCACUUGAGAUCAGGAGUUAGAAAUCAUCCUGGCCAACAUGGUGAAACCCCAUCUCUGCAAAAAAUAUUUUAAAAAAUUAGCCGGGCAUGGUGGCGGGCGCCUGUAAUCCCAGCUAUGCAGGAGGCUGAGGCAGGAUAAUCACUUGAACCCGGGAGGCGGAGAUUGCAGUGAGCUGAGAUCACGCCAUUGCAUUCCAGCCUGGGCAACAAGAGUGAAACUCCAUCUCAAAAAAAAAAAAAAAAGAAAGAAAGAAAAGAAAACCCACCCUCCUUCCCCUAACAUGGGUAUAUUUCAGGGUUGGAUCCAGGGAUUCAUUGAAAGGUAAAGUCUAAGUGUGGACAAGCCCACAUGGCCCACGCCACCCUGCCCAGGCCUGACCCUCGGACCCCCACUCAACCUUGCAUGUUCUGCUCCUUCCACACCCCGCUCCCUGCUGCUCCUUGAAAGCCACACCCACGUCCCACUCAGGGUGCUGUGCUUGCUCUUCCUAGGGUGACCAAGGAACAGUAGCACCCCCAGGACUGAGGCAUGUCCAAGAUGUGGGAUUUCUAGGGUUGACAUCGGGAUAGUCCUGGGCAAACCUGUGUUUGUCUGAGAAGGAAAGGCCCUUCCUCCAGCAUCCACACAGCCACUUCCUCGUCUCUGCUCAGACCUUGCUGAUACCGUAUGCGAAGCAGCGCGCCUCUUAUUCGCCUUCCUUUUUCUCCAAAGCUCUUAUGGGCAUCUGGUAGGUUGCAUUUGUAGUUGUUUGUUUGACUGUCUCUCUCCUCUAGAAUGUAAUCUCCACAUCAGCAGGGAAUUUGGUUUGUUUUCAUUUGAGAUAAUGUCACCUCGAAGCCUCCAAAUAACCCCAAAAGGUAGGCACUGUCGCCAACCUCACUUUACAGAAACUGAGGCUUGCUGGGGGGCUCAAACACUCGCCCACACUCUCACAGUGAUGGAACCAGGGUCUGAGCUGUGUGGCCCCAUCCCAUUUCUGGUUUUGUUUUUGUUUUUACUUUUGUUUCUUCUUCGGCUAUCUCCCCUGGAGCCUGGAAUAGAACUUGGCAGGUAGGAGGCCCAGAUCUGUUUUUUUCGAGUGAAUGAAUAAAUGAAUGAGUCUAUGGUUUUUGGACUUAGAUAAAAGCAGAGAAAAGACCAAAUGUAUUGCUUUUUAAAAUGAGGAUUAAAAAUAAAAGUUUAUGGCUGUUCUGUGUUGACUGAUGAGGUGUGCAAAGCAGGAAGCAGGGUUAGAAACUUAGACUGGAACAAGAGAGACGGAGAAAGUGUAGCAAGACUUCAAAGCACCAACAGCCUCUCUUAGGCUGUGUCUAAACAAGCGAGGCCCAGAAGUGAGGCAAUUAAUCAGGUAAUUCCAGCCCCCUUCCACCCAAUGGCCUCAAUUAUCUGGCUACUUGAAACCUACCCGGUUUAUGGGUAAUGAGUGUUAAUAGGCUAUUGUCCGGAAACAGUCUCCCCCCGCAGUUUGCUCCUUGGCAUUCGAAAGGCCCCAGGCAGCAAGAAACGUUCGGCUGACCGCUUUGCCGCCCACUCUCUGCAUCUGUAAUAAGGGACAGAAAUGCCUUCUUCAGCAGGCUGCUGUCAGGAGCCGGAAAAGUACCUGUCCAGGGUCUGGAAUCCUGACUAUGGCACUCCGCACACCUUCAUUUCAUUCUAGUUUCUUCCCACCAGUCUAAACCCUCACCACCACACUGCCUGCCCUCCAGGCCUCUGGGCUGGCCUCAUCUCUUCAGUUUUGCAAACUCUUGGAGGACAAGCAGAAGAGGAAUUACUUUCAAACGCUCCCCAGUUCUGCCCCAGAACAGAGCUUGCCCUUCUGAGGAAAAAUGACAGGGUCAAGAAAAAAAAAAAAGGACAGGGAACUCUCAUCAUCGACCUCCUAUUGCUGAGCCCUUUAAGAGCUCAGUCUCAUCUAAUCUUCACAAAAUCCUGCCGGGAGGGUCCUGUGAUGACCCCAUCUCACAGACAGGGAGACUGAGGUUCAGAGGCUUAACUAGCAAGUCUAAAGCUUGACAGGAAGUAAGUGUUGGAGCUGGGGUCCAGACUCCAGGGGCUAUGAAGUCAUCAUAAUUUUGUACUUCAGAAGUAAAAAAUAAUAGAACCAAAGUUAUGGAAACAGCUUUUUCAGAGCUGGAAAGUCUUGAGAGAUCUUGGAAUCCAAACCUAUUUUAGAGACGGGAAGACUGAAGGCUAGGGAGUGGAAAUGGUGGAGGAAGCAGAAGGGAGAUGAUGAUAAGAUCACAACAGUGACAGGUGGCACAUGAGGCCCAUGUGCUGGGCCGGGGCGUCGCACUGGGGCAGAGAUGGCAGGAUGGGCCUCCGUCUCCCCACCCCAGCCCAGUGCUCUGCCAGCCCCCACUCCACCCUUGCUGGAGGCUCCAGCCUCACUUACGGACAGCUGCCACGCUGGAGCACCGAGGCGAGGUGGCCCAGGCUCCCCCUGCAGCCAGGCUGUCCCCAUAGGAGGCAGGCCCAGCCUUCUGUCCACCUCCAGCACAACUCUCCUCUGGCUUUGAAAUCCGGAUGCUAAAUGAGGAGUCAGAUGGGAGGAUUCCCAAGCGGGCCCAGGUCUGAUCACGUACCCAAAGCCCUCCUGUCCUUUCUUGGGUGUGUGGCCUCCAUGGCGCCUGGAUACACAGGGCCCAGGGCUACUCCCUUAAGCAGCAAAAUCUUUGCUUUGCAAAUAUGCCUAGUGACGUCCUCCUGGAGUCCUCCCAAACACCCCUGCUGCCGCCCCUUCCAUUUCUCUUUCAGAGGUAAUGGAGGGAAAUCAGGGCCCAGUGCGUGGGAAGUGCUGUUGUUUCUAGGAAUAGUUGAGCAAGGUGCUCCCAGGGAGCUAUGAGGAGCUUCCUCCUGGGGACCAAUCCUGCCCAGCCUCAGGGCCCAGCCCCUACCUGGGAGGCCUUCCUUAAGGCCCCUCCCACCUCUGGACCCCAGCAGUCCUGCUACCCAGCCAGCUGAAGCCUUCGCAUCUUGGUACCCAAGCCAGGGCAGGCUUAGGUGCCUGUCCUCAGCGCUCCAUGGCCAGCUCCCUCCUCCCUGUUAGGAGCUUCUCUGGGGUGUGGUGACUGUGUUUUCUGGUCUUUCCUUACUGGACGAGGUCCCUGAAGGCAGAGUCUUGGCAUUUUUAUCUCAGGGAACUGAGCACCCCGUACAGGGCUUCUCCCAGACCACGCAGGUCUUAGUGUGGUGUGGACUGGGUGAGGCGAGGGGAUGUGGCCACGUGUGCUUAUUUUCCAGCUGUGUGCUUCUCCCCCAGCCAGACUCAGGCUUCUUGGACCAGUCACCCUGGGUCAGCGUGAGGGAAGGCACUGAGGGCACAGCCACCUCCGGAAGGCGACAGGUGGAAGGGCGUGGUGAGAGGGCCGUUCUGAUCUUCGCUGGGUGCUUCCAAUUCUGUGUCCCCCAUCUCAAAGUCAUGAGAAGGCCCUGCCUUCCUGGGAAGAUGAUGUGCAGACUGGUGUUUCAUCUGGGGCAGCAGCAGCCUGAAGGCCCCCGAAAUAGUGAGGCCAUCAGCUCUGGCCGGCACCUGGCUCUGAAGGCCCAAAGCCCACACACGGGCCCUGGCUUCCCUCUCCUUGUUCCCUGGCCCAGAGACAGGUGGGCGCUUCCUGCUGGGCUGGGGUGGUCUCCAAGCUGCUGCCUGACAUUGCACAGGGCCCAUGAGGGGUGCAAGACCCUGAGUUGCAGGCAGUACCUGGGAGGAAGCGCACCUUCCCACUGAGGGACAAGCUUCACUCUCCAGACAGUCAGGACUUCGUCCCGUUCCAGUGUUCAGAGGGCCUAGCUCCACUGCUGAGGAAAGCUCCCCUGGGCCCAGGUCUGGGAUACAUGGAGCUGACAGGGUGCUGAGGAGACCCAGGGUGGGGACGGGGGCUGCUGUUGAAAUGAGGGACCUCUCUGAGCCUCGGAAAGUGGAGCUGAUAAUGCCCAGGACAUGCCCCAUGCCUUCCUCAGGGAGAGGAGGUGAAGGGCAGGCAGAGUGAGGGGACUACCUUCCGGUACCCCCAUGCCAUGGGCCCAAGGUAGCUACUCCAUAAAGGCCGGCCCCUUCCUCCUUCCCUUCUCUGCCUCGCACGGAGAGAGGAUCUCUGAGCUAAAGGUGUGGGUGUGAGGCCAUCCUUCAAGUCUGAUUAGGGGGACCUUCCAGUUUUCCAAAGAGCACCCUGUGCAUUAGUCCCUUCCUGCCUCACAGCAGCCUAGUGGGCCAGCCAGGGCCGCGGGAGGAUUGAAGUCUAGGACAGCAUGUGACUUUGCCCAGAGUCACCCAGCAGGGCACAGUGAUGGGCAAGGACUCCCCCAAUCCCCCGCACAAACCCCGAGACUCCCAGUCUCGGGAGCAGGCUCUCCAGCACCCCUCCCCGGGUCCUCACGCAGCCACCUCAGUUUCCCCUCAGGACUAGCCAACCCUUUCACCUUUCUGGGCCCUUGCCCUGGGCAAUAGGGGCUGGGAGCCGGAUCUCCUAACUGUGGAUCACGCCUCAUCCCACAGAGCCAUGACUGACAGGCCCGGUGGACUCCAGCUGUGUUCCCAGUCGUUGGGAAGGAGAGUCGUGGGGUCUUGCAGCUCCUGGGCCUUUUUACCCGAGUUGCGUAAAACUCAGGGGCCACCUUAGAUCUGUAGGACCUGGAAGACGUCAGUCCCCACUCUGGGUCUCAGGUCCCACUUUGAGAGCAGAGGUGGGGCUGGAUGAGCCAUGGGGUGCCUCCCUCCAACAUCUUGACUGCAUCCUCCCUGCGUCCGGAGGCAAACAGUAAUUACAUAAAUCAUAUGCAGGUUCCAACAUCCCUCCAGAGCCCACCGAGCCAGUGGCUGGUGGGCACACUGCCCAACUGUGAGGAGGGAAAUGAGUCAGACUAGGCACAGAGAAACGCCCCUGGAGGAGCGGGCAAGGCAGCAGGGAGGGGAGAGCUUCCACUGAGAUGGCCCUUCUCGAAACAAAGCCUUAGGGGCUGGGGCAGGGGGGCACUCUCCAGUUUGCUUUUGCCUAUCGCCUGGGGUAAGGGCCUAGAAAGGUGAAAGCGUUGGCUAGUCCAGAGGGGAAACUGAGGUGGCUGUGUGAGAACCUGGGUGCUGGAGAGGCCUGCAAAGAGGGCAGGGCUGGGAGUCUCGGGGUUUGCAUGGUGGGUCGGGGGGAGUCCUUGCCAGUCUUUGUGUCCUCAAGAGUAAGAAGGGAAAUGGCCCUGCUCUGCCGAUCUCAGGGCCUGCGGUGAGGAUCAAAUGAGGUCCAGGAUGAGAUGGCUCCGUGGAGGGCCCUCCAGCUCUCUCUGCCACACAUUCCUCCUGCUCUGCUGACCCUCACAGUCAGUCUGCCUUUCUGGGAUGCACCCUGGGAAUCACUUGGCUCACUGCGAGCCUCUGCCUUCCUCCCAAAAAGCCCUUUCUCUCUUGGCCUCACCUGUUAAAAUGCUGCUUAUUCUUUAAAACCGGGUUGUGAGCAAAUGACUGAUACACACCCCAUCCUAGAUGCACCUCAUAGAUGUUACUCUGAGUUAAAGAAGCUAGAUACAAAAGCAAGCAUUCACCGUAUAAUUCUAGUUAUGUGAAGUUUGAGAACAGCUACAGCCUACCCAUGGGGAAUGGCGAUCAGAGCAGAGGUUGCCCCUGGGUGAGGUGGGGGUGGCUGGAAGGGGCUUGCGGGAACUUUCUAAGGUGGUGGAAAUGUUCUUCAUCUUCAUGGGGGUGGUGGUUAUGCAGGGAGACAUUUUUCAAACUACGAAAACUCCACACUGAAAUUCUGUACAUUUUAUAGUCUAGAAAUUAUACCUCAGUAAACACAAAUUAUGCAUAACUUAUAACAACAAAAAAGUAGAAACAACCCAAAUAUCCAUCAAUAGAUGAAUGGAUACAGCAAAUAUGUCAUAUCCAUACAAUGGAAUAUUUUUCAGCAAUAAGUGCUAACGCAUGCCGCAGCGUGGAUGGACCUUGAAAACAUCAUGCUAAGUGAAAGAAGCCAGUCACGAAAGACCACGUAGUGUAUGAUCUUAUUUACACGAAAUAUCCAGAACAGGCGAAACCAAGAAGACAGAAAGUAGGUCGGGGGUUGCUUAGGCUGGGGGAGCCAGGUAGUGACUGCUAAGGAGAGAUGAAAAUGUUCUAAAAUGGAUUGUGGUAAUGAAUGGACAACUCUGAAUAGACUAAAAACCAGUGAACCGUACAUUCUAAAUACGUGAACGUAUGGAAGGUGCAUGAUAAUGCAACAGAACUAUUAAAAAAUGCCAGAUUUUUUUUUUAAAAAAUCACUUAGUCAUCAAUGAUUAAUCUUUUGAUUUUUUUCCAAUAAAAUUUAAAAUAGAAACUUGCCAGCACCUCACAAUUUACCUGUCACUUAGUUCCUAUCCCAUUUCAUAGGAUACUCACAAAUAAAUCCAUGGGGGAGAAAGCCACACUACGUGGCCUAUAGCCCAGAUGGAUUGACACCAGGUUCAGACCCCAGCUCUGGAAGUCACUCCAGUCUCUGAACUUCAUGUUUCUUAUCUAUAAUGAUGAUAUUAAUCUACCAUGAAGGGGUGUUGGUUGAGAGGAUUCGGAAUAAUGCAUAUGAACGAUCUGCUAUGUAAUUAGCACUGAAUAAAAAGUGUUAUUUCUGCCUCCAUUUUACAGAAGGAGAAGCAAGGGGCUGGAAUAAAGGAAGCACGUGGCCUGAGAGACCAGAGCUGGUCAGUGGAGGUGCCUGGACUAGUACUCAGGCCACUGGACAGGGGUCCAUCCAUACUGGCUUACAUAUGGAGUGGUCCACAUUCCAGCCACAACAACCAAGGUAGCUCUUGUCGCACAAGAGAUGCACAAAAUUCUCUUGCCUUGAAUUUAAUACAGCACAACAGAGAAGCUGCAGAAUCAGAGGAGUUAAAUACAACCCCUUAGAAAGCACCCAAUUUCUAGUUCUGUGUCUGUGGAGUUGAAAUGUUCAAUCCCAGAGUCCCAGAGCUCCCAUGUACUGUGAACCAUCUUUGCUGGGUGCUAUACUCUAAAUGUUUGUGUCCCCUUCCAAAAUUCUUUUUUUUUAUUAUUAUUAUACUUUAAGUUUUAGGUUACAUGUGCACAACAUGCAGGUUUGUUACAUAUGUAUACAUGUGCCAUGUUGGUGUGCUGCACCCAUUAACUCGUCAUUUAACAUUAGGUAUAUCUCCUAAUGCUAUCCCUCCCCCCUCCCCCCACCCCACGACAGGCCCCGGUGUGUGAUGUUCCCCUUCCUGUGUCCAAGUGUUCUCAUUGUUCAAUUCUCACCUCUGAGUGAGAACAUGAGGUAUCUGGUUUUUUGUUCUUGUGAUAGUUUGCUGAGAAUGAUGAUUUCCAGCUUCAUCCAUGUCCCUACAAAGGACAUGAACUCAUCGUUUUUUAUGGCUGCAUAGUAUUCCAUGGUGUAUAUGUGCCACAUUUUCUUAAUCCAGUCU